CGUCCGCCCUCACAAGAAUACUGUGCUCGGAUUUUUACGGAAACCUGGACUACGGCAAGUAGGUCAGACUCGGCCAUUCAGUUACAGACACACUCCGUGCACCGCGGAGACCCCACAUCUGCCUCGGGUAAAAACAAAGGUUGCAGUGUAUACGUUUAUGUCAACAACAGGUGGUCUGUGGACACUCAGGUGGUGGAGAAACACUGUUGUGCGGACAUCGAAGUGCUGAUGGUGAAGUGCAGACCUUUUUAUUUACCGAAGGAGUUCAAUGCUGUGUUUCUGCUGGCUGUCUACAUCCCGCCGCGUCCGAUCGGACCACCACGCAAGGACUACUGCACGACGUCAACACGAGACCGCUCACCCGUGUUUGUUGUUGCCGGGGAUUUGAAUCACUGCAACCACGUCUACAGGAACGUAAGGGGCGCAUACAAGGCAGUGCCUCGCCUCCUUUUCAGACAGUCUGACCACAGCAUACAGGCAGCUCCUGGAACAAGCCCCCCCCAUUCCACCUGCGCCCACCAGGGACAGGGGAGUGACCUGCAGUAUCACCCUCCCACCGGAUUGAGCCCGAUAGCACAUGAGCCCAGUCCUCCGACGAGUUGGCACUAUUUUUUUUUAGCUGUAAUAACCUCUGUGGACACAGGGUGUCGCACUCUGAUGAAUAGACCGAUGCUUCCUACUUCUUCACUUUCCCUUAGCGUUCUACCACUUCCGGUUUUAUUGUUUGUGCGACAUAAGGAGGAAAAUUAGAAAGAAAAACAAAGAACUACUACAGAGAAAGAUUUGCUGUUUUUAUGAGAAGUACGAUGUCCCAAACAGCUUUAAAAAUAUGUUGUACCACACAAUUUUCACUAUGUUGCUUUCGUUAUCCUCUUCGAUUAAGAUACUUUAAAUACGGUGAGUACUCCCUAUUUUUACCGGCCUCAAUUUUUUAACCAAUUCACUACCUCGACUGGACUUUGAUACCAAUCUGGAGGUAAAAUGAAAAAUAAAAUUGUUGUAUAACAAUUAAGGCCUCAACUAGACUUUGAUACCAACACAGAGAGGUUAAGCGAAUAAAAAUUUUUUUUCAAAGAAA